UNCAAGCAUAUCGCUCCUUUCCAGUUAGCCCA
rnacentral:piRNA from 1 species